CCUACGGGAGGCAGCAGUGGGGAAUAUUGGGCAAUGGGCGCAACCCUGAUCCAGCAACGCCGCGUGAAGGAAGAAGGCUUUCGGGUUGUAAACUUCUUUUCUGAGGGACGAAGAAAGUGACGGUACCUCAGGAAUAAGCCACGGCUAACUCCGUGCCAGCAGCCGCGGUACUACGUAGGUGGCAAGCGUCACACGGAUCUAUUGGGUGUAAAGGGCGGGUAGGCGGGAAAGCAAGUCAGAUGUGAAAACCCAGGGCUCAACCCUGAGCCUGCAUUGGAAACUGUUUUGCUUGAGUGCUGGAGAGGCAAGCGGAAUUCCGGGUGUAGCGGUGAAAUGCGUAGAUAUACGGAGGAACACCAGUGGCGAAGGCGGAUUGCUGGACAGUAACUGACGCUGAGGCGCGAAAGCGUGGGGAGCAAACAGGAUUAGAUACCCUGGUAGUC
rnacentral:rRNA from 1 species